UACGGAGGGUGCAAGCGUUGUUCGGAAUUAUUGGGCGUAAAGCGCGUGUAGGCGGCUAUCUAAGUCUGGUGUGAAAGCCCUGGGCUCAACCCGGGAAGUGCACUGGAUACUGGAUAGCUAGAGGACGAGAGAGGAGAGUGGAAUUCCUGGUGUAGGGGUGAAAUGCGUAGAUAUCAGGAGGAACAUCAGUGGCGAAGGCGGCUCUCUGGCUCGUAUCUGACGCUGAAACGCGAAAGCGUGGGGAGCAAACAGG
rnacentral:rRNA from 1 species